GACGAGGGAUCCUAGCGUUGUUCGGAAUUAUUGGGCGUAAAGCGGGUGCAGGUGGCUUUGUAAGUCAGGUGUGAAAUCCCAGGGCUCAACCCUGGAAGUGCAUUUGAUACUGCGAAGCUUGAGUGUGGGAGAGGUGAGUAGAAUUCCAGGUGUAGUGGUGAAAUACGUAGAUAUCUGGAGGAAUACCGGAGGCGAAGGCGGCUCACUGGCCCAACACUGACACUCAGACCCGAAAGCGUGGGGAUCAAACAGG
rnacentral:rRNA from 1 species